rnacentral:rRNA from 5 species
AGAGUUUGAUCAUGGCUCAGAUUGAACGCUGGCGGCAGGCCUAACACAUGCAAGUCGAACGGUAGCACAGAGAGCUUGCUCUCGGGUGACGAGUGGCGGACGGGUGAGUAAUGUCUGGGAAACUGCCUGAUGGAGGGGGAUAACUACUGGAAACGGUAGCUAAUACCGCAUAACGUCGCAAGACCAAAGAGGGGGACCUUCGGGCCUCUUGCCAUCAGAUGUGCCCAGAUGGGAUUAGCUAGUAGGUGGGGUAACGGCUCACCUAGGCGACGAUCCCUAGCUGGUCUGAGAGGAUGACCAGCCACACUGGAACUGAGACACGGUCCAGACUCCUACGGGAGGCAGCAGUGGGGAAUAUUGCACAAUGGGCGCAAGCCUGAUGCAGCCAUGCCGCGUGUAUGAAGAAGGCCUUCGGGUUGUAAAGUACUUUCAGCGGGGAGGAAGGUGUUGUGGUUAAUAACCGCAGCAAUUGACGUUACCCGCAGAAGAAGCACCGGCUAACUCCGUGCCAGCAGCCGCGGUAAUACGGAGGGUGCAAGCGUUAAUCGGAAUUACUGGGCGUAAAGCGCACGCAGGCGGUCUGUCAAGUCGGAUGUGAAAUCCCCGGGCUCAACCUGGGAACUGCAUUCGAAACUGGCAGGCUAGAGUCUUGUAGAGGGGGGUAGAAUUCCAGGUGUAGCGGUGAAAUGCGUAGAGAUCUGGAGGAAUACCGGUGGCGAAGGCGGCCCCCUGGACAAAGACUGACGCUCAGGUGCGAAAGCGUGGGGAGCAAACAGGAUUAGAUACCCUGGUAGUCCACGCCGUAAACGAUGUCGACUUGGAGGUUGUGCCCUUGAGGCGUGGCUUCCGGAGCUAACGCGUUAAGUCGACCGCCUGGGGAGUACGGCCGCAAGGUUAAAACUCAAAUGAAUUGACGGGGGCCCGCACAAGCGGUGGAGCAUGUGGUUUAAUUCGAUGCAACGCGAAGAACCUUACCUACUCUUGACAUCCAGAGAACUUUCCAGAGAUGGAUUGGUGCCUUCGGGAACUCUGAGACAGGUGCUGCAUGGCUGUCGUCAGCUCGUGUUGUGAAAUGUUGGGUUAAGUCCCGCAACGAGCGCAACCCUUAUCCUUUGUUGCCAGCGGUCCGGCCGGGAACUCAAAGGAGACUGCCAGUGAUAAACUGGAGGAAGGUGGGGAUGACGUCAAGUCAUCAUGGCCCUUACGAGUAGGGCUACACACGUGCUACAAUGGCGCAUACAAAGAGAAGCGACCUCGCGAGAGCAAGCGGACCUCAUAAAGUGCGUCGUAGUCCGGAUUGGAGUCUGCAACUCGACUCCAUGAAGUCGGAAUCGCUAGUAAUCGUAGAUCAGAAUGCUACGGUGAAUACGUUCCCGGGCCUUGUACACACCGCCCGUCACACCAUGGGAGUGGGUUGCAAAAGAAGUAGGUAGCUUAACCUUCGGGAGGGCGCUUACCACUUUGUGAUUCAUGACUGGGGUGAAGUCGUAACAAGGUAACCGUAGGGGAACCUGCGGUUGGAUCACCU